GGGGGAUCUUUCGGGACCUCUCGCUCAAGGGGCGGCCGAUGGCAGAUUAGCUAGUUGGUGGGGUAAAGGCCUACCAAGGCGACGAUCUGUAGCUGGUCUGAGAGGACGACCAGCCACACUGGGACUGAGACACGGCCCAGACUCCUACGGGAGGCAGCAGUGGGGAAUUUUGGACAAUGGGCGCAAGCCUGAUCCAGCAAUGCCGCGUGUGUGAAGAAGGCCUUCGGGUUGUAAAGCACUUUUGUCCGGAAAGAAAUCCUUUGGGCUAAUACCCUGGGGGGAUGACGGUACCGGAAGAAUAAGCACCGGCUAACUACGUGCCAGCAGCCGCGGUAAUACGUAGGGUGCAAGCGUUAAUCGGAAUUACUGGGCGUAAAGCGUGCGCAGGCGGUUCGCUAAGACAGAUGUGAAAUCCCCGGGCUUAACCUGGGAACUGCAUUUGUGACUGGC
rnacentral:rRNA from 1 species